rnacentral:rRNA from 1 species
AGUGAACGCUGGCGGUAUGCCUAAUACAUGCAAGUCGAACGGCCACACAGUAAGAUUGUGCCUUUACGGUUGGCGGGUGGCGGACGGGUGAGGAAUGGAUCGGAAUCUACUUUUUCGUGGGGGACAACGUAGGGAAAGUUACGCUAAUACCGCAUAUGUCCUACGGCUUAAAGCAGUGGAUAUUCGCACCUUUCCCGUUUGAUUUAGCCGAAGUCGGAUUAGCUAGUUGGUGGGGUAAAGGCUCACCAAGGCAACGAUGCGUAGCUGAUCUGAGAGGAUGAUCGGCCACACUGGAACUGAGACACGGUCCAGACUCCUACGGGAGGCAGCAGUAGGGAAUCUUGCGCAAUGGGCGAAAGCCUGACCCAGCAACGCCGCGUGAGUGAAGAAGGCCUUCGGGUCGUAAAGCCCUGUUGUUAGGGAAGAACAGCAGCAGAAGAAUCCCCGGAUGUUUUGACGGUACCCAAUCAGUAAGCAACGGCUAACUUCGUG